GAUACUGACCGCGGUCACCUGGCUGAGGCGGUGUUCGCCCAGCGUCCUCACUAGGAAGCUCUGCGCUCCCUUCACCCUGUCCUCUGUGGAAGGAAGUCACCAGCACAGGGAGUGGGGACUUGAAAAGCUGCUCUUUCUUGAGGGCAGGCAAGGACACUAGAAUUGGCAGGGCAAGAACAUACCUGUGCGCGUCAUAGAUUUUUUCAUGCGUAAAUCCGAGCCCAACACUUCCCAGCUCAGUUUCAGUGGUUCAGUGUUUCUGGAACGCCGAUGACGGUAUCCUCCCAAGUCAGAUUUUCCCAGGAACCCCCAACGCUCUGUGCUUCCCAUGAACUGCGACACCUUCAUGCUGUCCAGGGCACAUGAGACCUGCGUCUGAGCCCUGGCCGGGUAGCUCAGUUGGCAGAGCGCUGCCCGAUGCGCCACGGCUGCGGGUUGGAUUCCCGGUCAGCACACAUCGGAGA